GACGAACGCUGGCGGCGUGCCUAACACAUGCAAGUCGAGCGGAGAUGAUGUGAGGAAGUUUUCGGAUGGAAUCACAUUAUUUUAGCGGCGGACGGGUGAGUAACGCGUGAGCGACCAACCUUGCACAGGGGGAUAACGGACCGAAAGGUUCACUAAUACCGCAUGAGACCACGGUGUUGCAUGACACAGGGGUCAAAGGAGGAAUCCGGUGCAAGACGGGCUCGCGUCCGAUUAGGUAGUUGGAGGGGUAACGGCCCACCAAGCCUAUGAUCGGUAGCCGACCUGAGAGGGUGAUCGGCCACAUUGGAACUGAGAUACGGUCCAAACUCCUACGGGAGGCAGCAGUAAGGAAUCUUCCACAAUGGGGGCAACCCUGAUGGAGCAACACCGCGUGAAGGAUGAAGGCCCUCGGGUCGUAAACUUCUUUUAUAAGUGAGGAAUAUGACGGUAACUUAUGAAUAAGGGUCGGCUAACUACGUGCCAGCCGCCGCAGUAA
rnacentral:rRNA from 1 species